AGCCAGGGAAUGGAAGGAGGAGCUGUCCUCCCGCAUCCCACCUCUGCCCUGAGUUGUCUCCAAGAGCCGACUCGCAGGCCAGCAGCCUGGGGGUUGGGUGAUUCCCAGCUCGGGACGGUGGAGCGCCUGUGUUUUAACCUGGGUUACCAGAAAGGCGUCCCCUCCUCCCUAAGCCCAGAUCCAAUGGCGCGCGCGCGCACACACACACACACACACACACACACACGCCCAACGCCCUGUGAGAUGCCAUUAACAACACACUCUCUGGCUUGCGGUGCUUUGUGAUACAAUUCGGCAGGGCUGGCGCGGAGCAUGCGGGUAGCACACAGUAGGCCUCAAGUAAAUGGCGGCCCUGACGCUUCCGGCUUUGGCUUCUUGGACACCCGGUCUCCCCCCCAACACCGUCGGCUUUCUGCGGGAGGUCGAGGCCCCCAGUAGCCCGCGCCUUGCCCCUCUUUCUGGGGGUGCGCGGCUGGCCUGGGAAGGGUGGAGCUGAAUAAAAUGGAGUCCCCGGCACAGGCUCGAGGGCCGCAGCGGAGCGCGAGCCUAAGCUGAGCGAGACUCCUUUGUAAGCCUUCACACCUCAUGUAUACCCGGGGCACUGCCUGGGCCUACGGCUUUCGGAACCAGACGCGCCCGCGGGCCGCACAGCGUGGACUCUGAGGAAGGGGGUUGAGCAAACGGGAGGCCCUCGGGGCGGGCCGAGGUUGGCGGGAAAGGCGGCGGCGGGCCCGCAGCCGCGACCUCCUGACUGGCGCCGAGACGCGGGUGGGGCGCGCUGCGGGGCCCGGGAGGCCAUUUUGAGAGCGCGAGGAGCGGCAGCAAGAUGGCUGCGUGGGCACCAGAUUGUCCUGCGAAGUGUGAUGGGACAGCCUCUUUUCAGCUUCUCUGAAAAUGGAGACAGAAGAGCUGUAGGUCUUGCUUGCCAAGGUCAUAGGAUUGGAGUCCAGAGCCAUGCCCCUCGCUCCAGGACACGCACCAUCAUCAGAGGCAGAAGAGCCAAGCAGAAAGGGAAGAUGCAGUCGCUGCUGUCUUGAAGCUGCAGCGGUCAGGGGCCAGGGUGGAGGAGGAGGACUGGGGCAGAGAGCACAGCGCGGGUUCUGCUCCCACUCCUGCCCUUCUGGGACUUGGCUAGGGACCUGGGGAAACGUGCCCCUACCCCCCACCCAUCUUGCGGAGGUCUUGGCCUUUGCUCUGUGGGCCACCCUUUCUGCCCUCCUCACAUUGUAUGCCUGUUCCAGCACAGGGUGUUCCAGCAAACAGAAUCUCCGCCCCAUAUCUCUGCCCCUGAGGGCUGAGGGCUGAGGGCAGUGUGCCAGGUGGUUGCCCACGCAAGGGGCUCCAGCCUUCUAGGAGUUAACGAUGCCCUCUCCCCAGCUGUCCUCCCCUUGGUGCUCCUCUUCCUCCCUCCUCCUGCUCACAGCAGGCAGGGCCUGGACCUGGGAGCCAUGCCGCUGUGCUGUUGCCAGGGGAGCCGGGAGCCAGAUCCGAGCUAUGCAGGGAAAAGGCCUGGCCUGUCAAAGUGUCUGAGAUGAACCGCCGCCGUCCCCGUGCAGCUGGGCUCAGACGUGUCUCUGCUCUUGUUCUGUGCCUGAGAAUGGCGAAGCCCAGUGAGGUUCAAGGGCAAACUCACUAUUCAUUAGUCAGGGGUUCUUGACGUCCGUGUCUCCCAGGGAUGGGUCCUCCCUCCCUUUUCUUCUCCCUCCUGUGACACGUUCCUGGGUGCCUUUGGUGAGGGCUUCACACCCUCCUCCUCCUGCCCAACUCUUCUCCAAAGGCCCCUAAAUAAACUCCCCCCAAGGAGACCAGGCAGGGCAGAGACAAUGGCCGCAGGAAACCAUUCAGGCAGGACUCCAGCCAUGCUGGCCCACCCUCCACCCCCAGCGCCCCUGUGGGCCCACUCCCCUCUGACUCAGGGUACCCCUGGACUACUAGACCACACAGGCCUGGACAAGACAGAGGCACUAGGCACUGCCCUCAGGGCAGCAGGCCAGUCCAGCACCAUGCUCAGUGGGCUGGUUGGAUGCUUCCAUGACCUGUGUCUUACAUUGCUGCCUCUCUCAAUGCCUUUCUCUACCAUCACGUAUCUCUUCUAAGACACUCAAACACCAUUGGUGGGAAAGCAUGAAAUGUGGCAAUAUCAGAAUGUAAAGGACACGUGUACUUAGUAACAAGCAAACUGCACUGCUAGAAAUUUACUAUACGGUUAACAUGUAGACGUUCCCAAAGAAGAAUGUACAAGAAUGUUCAUCUGAGCAUUUAUUUUUUAAGAAUAUAAAGAAAUGGAAAUGAA